rnacentral:rRNA from 1 species
UACAGGGGGGGCAAGCGUUGUUCGGAAUUACUGGGCGUAAAGGGCCAGUAGGCGGCCAACUAAGUCCGACGUGAAAUCCCCAGGCUUAACCUGGGAACUGCGUCGGAUACUGGAUGGCUUGAAUUCGGGAGAGGGAUGCAGAAUUCCAGGUGUAGCGGUGAAAUGCGUAGAUAUCUGGAGGAAUACCGGUGGCGAAGGCGGCAUCCUGGACCGACAUUGACGCGUGAACGGCGAAAGCUAAGGGGAGCAAACGGG